UGGGGAAUAUUGGACAAUGGGCGAAAGCCUGAUCCAGCAAUGCCGCGUGAGUGAUGAAGGCCUUAGGGUUGUAAAGCUCUUUUACCCGGGAUGAUAAUGACAGUACCGGGAGAAUAAGCUCCGGCUAACUCCGUGCCAGCAGCCGCGGUAAUACGGAGGGAGCUAGCGUUGUUCGGAAUUACUGGGCGUAAAGCGCACGUAGGCGGCUUUGUAAGUCAGAGGUGAAAGCCUGGAGCUCAACUCCAGAACUGCCUUUGAGACUGCAUCGCUUGAAUCCAGGAGAGGUGAGUGGAAUUCCGAGUGUAGAGGUGAAAUUCGUAGAUAUUCGGAAGAACACCAGUGGCGAAGGCGGCUCACUGGACUGGUAUUGACGCUGAGGUGCGAAAGCGUGGGGAGCAAACA
rnacentral:rRNA from 2 species